rnacentral:rRNA from 1 species
GACAGAGGCCUCAAGCGUUAGGCGGAAUCACUGGGCUUAAAGCGUGUGUAGGCGGAUCGUUAAGUGUCUUGUGAAAUCCCACGGCUCACCCGUGGAACUGCUGGGCAUACUGGCGAUCUUGGGCCAACUAGGGGCAGCCGGAACAAGCGGUGGAGCGGUGAAAUGUGUAGAUAUCGCUUGGAACGCCGAAGGUGAAAACAGGCUGCUGGGGUUGUGCCGACG